AAACCGGUUUUCCUCAAAACCAUUCCCUUAGAUUUUUGUAAUAUUU
rfam:Aedes aegypti strain Liverpool supercont1.8 genomic scaffold, whole genome shotgun sequence.